rnacentral:misc_RNA from 1 species
UUACAGGGCAAUAUGCACG